GACGAACGCUGGCGGCGUGCUUAACACAUGCAAGUCGAACGGGAUCCAUGCAGUGGCAACACUGCGGAAGAUCUAGUGGCGAACGGGUGAGUAACACGUGAAGAACCUGCCCCAGACUCUGGAAUAACACUCCGAAAGGAGUGCUAAUACCGGAUACCUUCCCGAGGUCGCAUGGCCACGGGAAGAAAGAUUCAUCGGUUUGGGAGGGCUUCGCGGCCUAUCAGCUUGUUGGCGGGGUAACGGCCCACCAAGGCGUCGACGGGUAGCUGGUCUGAGAGGAUGAUCAGCCACACUGGGACUGAGACACAGCCCAGACUCCUACGGGUGGCAG
rnacentral:rRNA from 1 species